ACAGAAGAAAACUGUUGGAACCCAAAAUGAACCAACGCUCCCCCCUCCCCAACCUGUUGACCGGCUCAGCUGUGGAUUCUAUGAAGAAUGGAUCUACAGCUUGGAUUCGAUGUUCAGACGAACUGAACAUUAAUUUUUCUGGCAGACAUUUUCCAAAAUGGCCACCGCGAUGUAAUGGAGAAUAUAUAUGUGUGAACUGAAGCCCUUUUCGCACUGCAGAGUCCGGCAUCGACGCUGUGACGUCAUUAUGUUUGAAUCUAAACGGUUUCCAUGCAGCGGCCAUAGCCUUUUCCUCAGAUGCAGCGGAAAACUCUUUCCUCGCUGACCGAUCAGUUUGUUCUGUACUCGAUCAGCGAGUAAAUGACCUCAUCAUGGGACCAGAGGGUGCCAAGAGGCUGUUCCCUCCUGAGGGCGUUGCUGGUGGUUCCUCGAUUCCUGCACAACUGCAAUUAAUCAGAUCAUCUGGAGGAGUAUAUGAGAACGGAGCUGCCGACACUUCAGAUCCAGAGUGUUAGCCAGUAAUUGGUUAUUCUUCGUGACGCUGUGGACCCACUGGUUGCCAGAUUUCCACUGACACCUCCGCAGUAAACCAAAACUCUUUGGAUACCCUGUCGUCAGUCUCACUCGCUCCUCACCUCCUGUGAUCCAAAACUUACCUGUCCGCCCUCCACCGCAGCCUCUUCGUCAGUGAAGCAGCAACCCUCCACUUGAACCAAACCCCAAUAACCAGAGUGAAUCUUUUGGCAGGACAAGACCUACCUCCACCCAAGUAAGACCAGUCUGUUUAAUCUGACACUGCCGUUUUCCACAAUCCCUGAACUCACCAUCCCUCUUUUUUUACACUCCAGUGCUCCGGUGAUCCAGAUUGCAGACUUUCCCUAGAUCCCAAUUGUUGAUCAUUAUUUUGUGUUUACAAUGAACUUAUUUAACCGAUUUCUGUUCUCUGCCUGGUGUUCUGCAUGUGGGUUAAGAAAUUAGACUCCAUUAUGACAUUGAGGUAAAAUCUUUUUUUGUUUGUUUGUUUUAUGGUAAAAUGCUGGCAGCCAGGGUUGCCAAAAUUCAACUGUAAAAAAUAAUUACGGGUAAAAUGUUUUUUUUUUUGUUUUACGGUGAAAUUUCGGCAAUCCCGGCUGCCGGCAUUUUACCGUAAAAUCUACGUUUUCUUUUUUACAGUGCAGAGACCCUUCCACCAAUCACAGAGACCCUUCCACCAAUCACAGAGACCCUUCCACCAAUCACAGAGACCCUUCCACCAAUCACAGAGACCCUUCCACCAAUCACAGGGAACCUUCCUGGGCGGAUUUGGACCAAUGGUCUGAUCCACCCGGUUCUGAAGGUCCAGUGGAGAACCUGCUGCACGGUUCAUGUCAUUAGAUAUCAGGACAUCAGCUUCGGUCCAGGUGUUGUUUGCACCUCAAACAUUCUGGAGUGCUUCUUUAUGAGCUGAGGAGGAGAUUCAAACAUCUAGGCCAGGCCGGUCAGAGAAUGAAGAGGAGGCCGAAGAUGGAGAAGGAGGAUGAAGAAGAAAAGGAGGAGGAGGAGGCAGCAGCAGCGACGACGACAGCUUGCAGACAGUGGGGUACUUGUCUCCAUGCUGCAGCCUGAUGAAAAUCGCUCCUAGCAACCAACAAAGGUCUAUUCAUACGGCUCAGAAUGCGAGGAGAGACCCAGGCUCCAGCUGGUCUGGAGUCAGAACCAGCAGAACCUUUCUGAAGUCAUACAGAUGUUUUCUAUCUUCUGUAUUUCCAGAUGUUUUGGGUUUUCUGCUG